AACGAACGCUGGCGGCGUGGAUAAGACAUGCAAGUCGAGCGCAAUAUUUACCGUAGCAAUACGGUAGAUGUUGAGCGGCGCAAGGGUGCGUAACACGUGGGUAAUUUGCCGUGAAGUUGG
rnacentral:rRNA from 1 species